rnacentral:rRNA from 1 species
GACGAACGCUGGCGGCGUGCCUAAUACAUGCAAGUAGAACGCUGAAGAGAGGAGCUUGCUCUUCUUGGAUGAGUUGCGAACGGGUGAGUAACGCGUAGGUAACCUGCCUUGUAGCGGGGGAUAACUAUUGGAAACGAUAGCUAAUACCGCAUAACAAUGGAUGACACAUGUCAUUUAUUUGAAAGGGGCAAUUGCUCCACUACAAGAUGGACCUGCGUUGUAUUAGCUAGUAGGUGAGGUAACGGCUCACCUAGGCGACGAUACAUAGCCGACCUGAGAGGGUGAUCGGCCACACUGGGACUGAGACACGGCCCAGACUCCUACGGGAGGCAGCAGUAGGGAAUCUUCGGCAAUGGGGGCAACCCUGACCGAGCAACGCCGCGUGAGUGAAGAAGGUUUUCGGAUCGUAAAGCUCUGUUGUAAGUCAAGAACGAGUGUGAGAGUGGAAAGUUCACACUGUGACGGUAGCUUACCAGAAAGGGACGGCUAACUACGUGCCAGCAGCCGCGGUAAUACGUAGGUCCCGAGCGUUGUCCGGAUUUAUUGGGCGUAAAGCGAGCGCAGGCGGUUUGAUAAGUCUGAAGUUAAAGGCUGUGGCUCAACCAUAGUUCGCUUUGGAAACUGUCAAACUUGAGUGCAGAAGGGGAGAGUGGAAUUCCAUGUGUAGCGGUGAAAUGCGUAGAUAUAUGGAGGAACACCGGUGGCGAAAGCGGCUCUCUGGUCUGUAACUGACGCUGAGGCUCGAAAGCGUGGGGAGCGAACGGGAUUAGAUACCCUGGUAGUCCACGCCGUAAACGAUGAGUGCUAGGUGUUGGAUCCUUUCCGGGAUUCAGUGCCGCAGCUAACGCAUUAAGCACUCCGCCUGGGGAGUACGACCGCAAGGUUGAAACUCAAAGGAAUUGACGGGGGCCCGCACAAGCGGUGGAGCAUGUGGUUUAAUUCGAAGCAACGCGAAGAACCUUACCAGGUCUUGACAUCCCGAUGCUAUUUCUAGAGAUAGAAAGUUACUUCGGUACAUCGGUGACAGGUGGUGCAUGGUUGUCGUCAGCUCGUGUCGUGAGAUGUUGGGUUAAGUCCCGCAACGAGCGCAACCCCUAUUGUUAGUUGCCAUCAUUCAGUUGGGCACUCUAGCGAGACUGCCGGUAAUAAACCGGAGGAAGGUGGGGAUGACGUCAAAUCAUCAUGCCCCUUAUGACCUGGGCUACACACGUGCUACAAUGGUUGGUACAACGAGUUGCGAGUCGGUGACGGCAAGCUAAUCUCUUAAAGCCAAUCUCAGUUCGGAUUGUAGGCUGCAACUCGCCUACAUGAAGUCGGAAUCGCUAGUAAUCGCGGAUCAGCACGCCGCGGUGAAUACGUUCCCGGGCCU